AUACGGAGGGUGCAAGCGUUACUCGGAAUCACUGGGCGUAAAGAGUACGUAGGCGGAUCGUUAAGUUAGAGGUGAAAUCCCAGGGCUCAACCCUGGAACUGCCUUUAAUACUGGCGAUCUAGAGAUCGAGAGAGGUGAGUGGAAUUUCCAGUGUAGAGGUGAAAUUCGUAGAUAUUGGAAAGAACACCAGUGGCGAAGGCGGCUCACUGGCUCGAUACUGACGCUGAGGUACGAAAGCGUGGGGAGCAAACAGGAUUAGAUACCCUAGUAGUCC
rnacentral:rRNA from 1 species